rnacentral:lncRNA from 1 species
AAAUGCCUGGGACUGGGGCUGAGGUAGAGCAGAAUGGGAACUGCCACUGAAAAAGUAGAGACAUUUGCUUUCUGGCUGCUGCUCCUCACCCUUCAAAUACUUCUCUGGCUGCUCAGAGGCCCAGACACAGAGAUGGAGGGGACCUGACUUCAUCUUCCCGUCACAAAUCUCCCUGCUUCUGAAGGAACUCUUGAGAUAAUCCAGCGUGCCGUCUCUAACAGUCUCCAGCCACCAGCAGGAGGCUAGGUUAUGUUGUGCAAACCGGUCUUGAACCAGUGGGUUCGAGUGAUCUUCCUGCCUCAACCUAACAAGUAAGCUGGGAAAAAGGUGUGCCUUUCCUACCUCCCAACUGGGUUACAACUGGAGAGGAUAGGAGUAGAGCUGGACCUGAAGAUAUGACAUUCUGAAUGGCAGCCAGCCAGCACCUACUCAAACAGGGAUUUCUGCAGAGCAGUACUUUGCAAAGAACACUAGCCCAGAAGUUUUUGCCACAUCCCUUCAUUUAUCAGCUAAGCCCAACUCUGUUCAGAGGCCAUAGCAUCCCAGAGCUAUCUUAAAUUCUAUGAGUGCUCCUCUGCAAAAUCUCAAGUCCAAAGUCUCAAGAUCAAUAUGUGGAAUUCUGUGUCAAUCAAUAUUUACACCAUCUGGUCAAAGAAAUUUCUUUUUCUCUGGACUCCAGUCCAAACUUCAAAUGAGCUAGACAUUACAUUCCAUAGAUCACUACCUAAAUCUGAAAGCCCAUCUCUAGCCCCUCAUAAUCUUUCUUCAUCUGCUGAGGGAGGUGUUGUAUUUCACUGUAAACUGUAUGGUUUGUGAACUCUACAUUCAUAAAGCUGUUUAAAAAGGACACAAGCACCUGCUUUGCACAUGAUAAUGAACAACUUUAAUGAGCUAAAAAGCAUUACAUCUAAAGAAAUAUGCAUGACUACAGAAAAGACUGCACUUAGGAGCAGUAACAUGGCUCUGCCUUCCUGGUACACCUGACCUAGAGGAAAGCCUCCAUCCUGGAUGUUUCUGCUCCAGCCAGCUGAAUAUACUUCCUCAGUUUUUCAAUAUACUCUAAAGGGGAGGGAAACCACAGAAUCUGUAAGCCACCUUAAAUAUAAAUGUGAUUUUUAAAUUUUAAUGUUAUAAUAAAAAGC